CAGCCGCCACGGGAAUGCGUAGGGUGCGAGCGCUAAUCGGAAUUACUGGGCAUAAAGCGUGCGCAGGCGGUUUUGUAAGACAGGCGUGAAAUCCCCGGGCUCAACCUGGGAAUGGCGCUUGUGACUGCAAAGCUAGAGUGCGGCAGAGGGGGAUGGAAUUCCGCGUGUAGCAGUGAAAUGCGUAGAUAUGCGGAGGAACACCGAUGGCGAAGGCAAUCCCCUGGGCCUGCACUGACGCUCAUGCACGAAAGCGUGGGGAGCAAACAGGAUUAGAUACCCCUGUAGUCCCUGUCUCUUAUAC
rnacentral:rRNA from 1 species